UACGGGGGGGGCAAGCGUUGUUCGGAAUUACUGGGCGUAAAGGGCUCGUAGGUGGCCAACUAAGUCGGACGUGAAAUCCCUCGGCUUAACCGGGGAACUGCGUCUGAUACUGGAUGGCUUGAGUUCGGGAGAGGGAUGCGGAAUUCCAGGUGUAGCGGUGAAAUGCGUAGAUAUCUGGAGGAACACCCGUGGCGAAGGCGGCCCCCUGGGCCGUACCUGACGCUGAGGCGCGAAGGCUAGGGGAGCGAACGGG
rnacentral:rRNA from 1 species